CCAAAGGCUCUUUUAAGAGCCACAUCAAUGUGUCUAGAAAAGAUGAU
rfam:Danio rerio chromosome 25 genomic contig CTG2378, GRCz11 reference primary assembly.